ACCUACGGGGGGCAGCAGUGGGGAAUAUUGCACAAUGGGGGAAACCCUGAUGCAGCGACGCCGCGUGAGCGAAGAAGUAUUUCGGUAUGUAAAGCUCUCUCAGCAGGGAAGAAAAAUGACGGUACCUGAGAAAGAAGCACCGGCUAAAUACGUGCCAGCAGCCGCGGUAAUACGUAUGGUGCAAGCGUUAUCCGGAUUUACUGGGUGUAAAGGGAGCGUAGACGUCAGCGCAAGUCUGAAGUGAAAUCCCAUGGAUUAACCAUGAAACUGCUUUGGAAACUUUGCAGCUGGAGU
rnacentral:rRNA from 1 species